rnacentral:rRNA from 1 species
GACGAACGCUGGCGGCGUGCUUAACACAUGCAAGUCGUACGGUAAGGCCCUUUCGGGGGUACACGAGUGGCGAACGGGUGAGUAACACGUGAGUAACCUGCCCACAACUUUGGGAUAACGCUAGGAAACUGGUGCUAAUACUGGAUAUGUGCUCCUGCUGCAUGGUGGGGGUUGGAAAGCUCCGGCGGUUGUGGAUGGACUCGCGGCCUAUCAGCUUGUUGGUGGGGUAGUGGCCUACCAAGGCGGCGACGGGUAGCCGGCCUGAGAGGGUGACCGGCCACAUUGGGACUUGGAUACGGCCCAGACUCCUACGGGAGGCAGCAGUGGGGAAUAUUGCACAAUGGGCGCAAGCCUGAUGCAGCAACGCCGCGUGCGGGAUGACGGCCUUCGGGUUGGAAACCGCUUUCAGCAGGGACGAAGCUUUUUGUGACGGUACCUGCAGAAGAAGCACCGGCUAACUACGUG